rnacentral:rRNA from 1 species
UACGAAGGAGGCGAGCGUUGUUCGGAAUUACUGGGCGUAAAGGGCGCGCAGGCGGCUCAGCCAGUCAGAUGUGAAAGCCCCGGGCUUAACCUGGGAACUGCAUUUGAUACUACUGAGCUUGAGUACGGGAGAGGAUAGUGGAAUUCCCAGUGUAGAGGUGAAAUUCGUAGAUAUUGGGAAGAACACCGGUGGCGAAGGCGGCUAUCUGGACCGUAACUGACGCUGAGGCGCGAAAGCGUGGGGAGCAAACAGG